UACGAAGGGGGCUAGCGUUGUUCGGAUUUACUGGGCGUAAAGCGUGUGUAGGCGGUUUGGCAAGUCGGACGUGAAAGCCCCGGGCUCAACUCGGGAAGUGCGCUCGAUACUGCCAGGCUUGAGUGUCGGAGAGGUUGGUAGAAUUCUCGGUGUAGAGGUGAAAUUCGUAGAUAUCGAGAGGAAUACCGGCGGCGAAGGCGGCCAACUGGACGAACACUGACACUGAGACACGGAAAGCGUGGGGAGCAAACAGG
rnacentral:rRNA from 1 species